rnacentral:misc_RNA from 1 species
GGAAGGAUCAUUAUCGAGCGUACGCUCGUAUAACGAGAGAGAGAGAGAAUUGGGUUUGCUGGUAGAUUCAUACGGUAGGCGCUUCGCGCAAUCCCGGUCCAGCAAACUAACAGAAUCAGACUAGCCGUAUUGUGAUGGUGUCGUAGUUGGUAUAAGUGAGCUACCAACCUGCUUCAUUUGCGACACCAUUAACGGUACACAGUCUAGUGGUGAUUCUCGCGACCUUGGGUGUAAACGUGGGUACCUAUGGUUCGCAUGUGCUUAUCGGUGAAUGUAUUUUCUGUAGACGAGCGUCACGACCGAUUGACCUGCUAACAGAAAGGUGGAAUGAUUGCAGACUGAUGCCUUCGGGUGUCAGUGACUCGUCAACCACUCUGUUUGAGUCAGGACGAUCGAGAAUAGACCGCGUCGGCUCGUCGCAUGUGUAUUGUGCAUAUGGACUGAAUUCUAACUUGUAAUUCAUGCUUGCAUGAUUUGCAGACCCUCAGUUCAGACUGCCUUUACAUUAUGCAUUGACGCAUAUGGUCUGUGGCGUCUGUGUCAGUUACCCACCCGACCCGUCUUGAAACACGGACCAAGGAGUCUAACAUGUGCGCAAGUCAUUGGGUUUAAAACCCAAAGGCGUAAUGAAAGUGAAGCAUAGUGGGAUUCCUUGUCUUCGGACUUGGACGCACCACUGUCCCGUCUGAUCUGCAUGUCAGAUAGGCGGAGAAUGAGCGUACACGUUGGGACCCGAAAGAUGGUGAACUAUGCCUGAGCAGGAUGAAGCCAGAGGAAACUCUGGUGGAAGUCCGUAGCGGUUCUGACGUGCAAAUCGAUCGUCAGACUUGGGUAUAGGGGCGAAAGACUAAUCGAACCAUCUAGUAGCUGGUUCCCUC